UCUUCAGAUGAUGAUCCCAAGCCUUCUGGCGAUCUACUCAGAAUAAGCUUUUUGCUUUUGGGAAAUCGCUUUUCCGUUUAUGAGAUUAUGCCGGGGAAGGUUUUCCGGCUUGCUCCGGAGGGCUUGUAGCUCAGUUGGUUAGAGCGCGCGCUUGAUAAGCGUGAGGUCGGAGGUUCAAGUCCUCCCAGGCCCACCAAUUUUAAAGUGUUUUAACAUUUGUUGAUGUUUAUAGCAUUUUCUUGUUUUGUGAUGCUUGUUAACUUUGUUAAAGCGUUUUARAGGCAGAGAAUUUGGAAGCUUGAUCCUAUUUUAAGGGGCCGUAGCUCAGCUGGGAGAGCACCUGCUUUGCAAGCAGGGGGUCGUCGGUUCA
rnacentral:misc_RNA from 1 species